GUCUUUUCUGGCAGAUUACUUCUGUGAGCAACUGGGUCUCUCAGUUCUUUGGGAGCACCCUGGGAAACUGUGUGGCUAUGACUUGGAGCUGCUCACCAGUUCCAGUCAUUCUGUGGUUGAGAGCUGCUCCCUAUGGAUGUUAAUUCUUCUCCAUUUUAGAUUUUCCACAGGUGUGGGCCCCAUUAGCUCUGGCCACCUGAGAAAGCCCUCAGGCAAAGAGUCGCAGGUGAAAGCCAGCAGUUAGAGGUUCACAGAAAUGAGUGCAGAAGCAUCUUCAGUUGGAGAGCCAUUGCCUCUUGCUGUGAAAUAUUUGGGAAUCUUCAGAAACCAUGCAGAAUAACCUGCUAAAGCUGAGCUGGGACUCUGCCUGGAUAUAACUUAUGGCCUAUUCUAUAUGGAAAGUUGGUUUUCUCACAGUUCCACUCCCUUCCCAGAUAUCAGCAAAUGGCCCUCCUAGCCCAGAAGUCUCCAGAGAGGGUUUUAUUUUGUCAGUCAAGCUGGAAUGCAGUGGCGUGAACAUUGCUUACUGCAACUUCAAUCUCCUGAGGUCAAACAAUCUUCUCACCUCAGCCUCGCAAGCAGCUAGGGCUAAAGGCAUGUGCCACCACGCCCCACUAAUUUUUUAAUUUUUCUUUUGUGGAGACGCAGUCUUGUUAUCUUGAACAGGCUGGUCUUGAACUCUUGGAGUCAAGCAAUCCUUCUGCCUCAGACUCUCAAAGUGCUGGGAUUACAGGCAUGAGCCACCACAUUCAGCCAGGAAAAGUUUUUGUACAUUUAAAAAAUUAUAGGAUAUUUGUGUAUAUAGCUUUGCUGGUUUGACUUCCUAGAAUAGCUCCCAGGAACACAAAGUACUUAAUUUAUUAGUAUAA